GGGAGGAUGGCCGAGCUGGUUAUGGCGUCAGGUUAAGGCUUCAGUCUUAGCACUCAAGUAUCUCAUUUGUUAUGGGAUAGACGUUUCCUGAUGGGAGCAAUCCCGCGUGGGUUCGAGUCCCACUCCUCUCA
rnacentral:tRNA from 1 species